CGUGUCUACGCAGACUGUCAUGGAGGAAGAAACAAAAAGCAAAGCAAAAGUGUCUAUGUCUACACAGACCGGCACAGAGGAGGAAGGAAUCGAAAGCGCCAUCAGCAUCUCCACACAAACCAUCACCAAACCAGAGCAGCUUGAACCCAUAGGAGUUGCCCCCGUUCAGAAGAAGAAAUCGAGGAGCAAAUCAGUCCGCAUAGUGACUGACGAGGACACUGCAGGACCCUCGCACCCAGUGGAAGAGACAGAACCAGAGAUCAUCACUCGCUCUCUAUCCCUGGGUGAGCUACGUGACCUGCGGAGAGAAUUCACCCGCCAGACAAAUGAGUCCAUCCUCACCUGGCUUCUCCGCAUCUGGGACGCUGCAGCCAAUGACACCAUUCUGGAUGGAAGUGAGGCCAGGCAACUGGGAUCACUAUCCCGGGAUGUGGUCAUUGACCAGGGGAUUGGGAGAACCCAAGAAACUCUCAGCCUCUGGCGGCGACUGCUUGCAAGUGUGAAGGACAGAUACCUUUGUAAAGAAGACCUCCAGGUACUCCAAGGAAAAUGGAAUACCAUGGAACAAGGUAUCCGAUGCCUAAGGGAAUUGGCUGUGUUGGAGAUAAUUUUUGCAGAAGACGAAAGAUUUCCUAAGAGUCCAGACUGUGUCCAGUGCACAUCACAAAUGUGGUUGAGAUUUGCACGGCUUGGACCAGAGAUGUACGCUCGUUACCUGGCAACACUGCAGUGGAGAGAAGGCGAGGACAGGGUGGGCGUCCUAGCCAAUAAGUUAAGAAUUUACGAGGACACGGUCACCGCCCCGUUUCGUACCCAUGUCUCGUCCGUGGAAACAAGGUUGGCUGAGCAAGUCCGGGACUUGAUUGAAGAGAGUCAUAAGAAACUAAAAAAGGAACUUAAGGAAGAAGGCUACCAUAUUUUACCAGAACCAACAAGAAUCUCUGCCAUUAGGAGCCAGCGCUCCCAAGCCAAGGAGAGAGGAUACACUCCACGAGGAAACCUCUGGUUUUUUCUUCAGGAGCAUGGAGAAGACAUGAGGAAGUGGGAUGGAAAACCCACCUCUUCCUUAGCAGCCCGAGUACGUGAACUAAAAAGAACACCUAACACAAAAAGAGUAAAUGCUGCUCCAGUCUCUCAAACACAGAGUUCCAGACAAUAUAAGAAUAAUGAUAUAACUGAUCCUCUUGAAGGAACCUCAAGAACCUAUUUACCAGAAGAGAGCAACGUGUACCAUGAC
ensembl:lncRNA